GUCCCAGUGGGACUUCUUGCAGAAAUAGAAAAAUUAGAAAGCAUCCUAAAAUUCAUAUGGAAUCUUGAAGAACCCUGAAUAACUAAAACAAUCUGGUGAAAGAAAACCGAAGAUGUGUUACAAAGCUACAGUAAUCAAAACAGUAUGCAUAAAGACAGGCAUACAGACCAAUGGAACAGAAUAGAGAACCCAGAAAUAAGCCCUCACAGGUAUGGUCAAAUGAACACUGUGGUGUUCUUCAAAAAAUCCCUAUGACCCAGCAAUCCCACUUCUGGGUAUUUAUCCAGAAGAACUGAUCACAGGGUCUCACAGAGAUAUCUGCAUACCCUCGUUCACUGCAACCUUGCUCACCGUAACCAAGAGGUGGAAGCAGCCUAAAUGUCCUUUGAAGGGGGAGUGGCUAGAGAAAGCGUGGGAUUGUACACAGCAGAAUCCUCUUCAGCCUUCGGGAGGAAGAAAAUCCUGCCAGGUGCUACGCCGUGGAUGAAUCCUGAGGUUAUUAUGUUAAGGCAAUAAGCCAGUCACAAAAAGAUGCACACAAGAUGAUUCCACUCAUGUGAGAUUCCUAGAACAGUCAAACUCUUAGAGACAGAAAGAAUGGCUGUUGCUGUUGCCAGGGACAGUGCGGAGGGGGAAGACGAGUUGCUUAAUGGAUAGAUUCCAUUUUGCAAGAUGAAAAAGUUCUAGAGAUCUCGUGUGGUUAACACUGCUAUAUAUACACUUAGAAAAAAAGGUGAAGAUGAUAAAUUUUAUGUUAUGUGUCCUUUAUUACAACAAUAACAAAAAAAAAAGCAACCUCCAGAGAAGAAAGUCAGGCAGGAAAGAGGGAGCCGAAUCCCAUGGCCUGGGAAGAUGUCCUGGUGGAGAGGCCCUGCCCCAACCCUGGAAUCUCAGCUCUAUGGGCCCUGGAAUCCCCCAUGACCACCUGAGCCCUGGGGGGGCGGCUCCAUCACUGUCACCCAAGGUCUUUAGGAUGCACUCGGCCACUCAGACCCUACAAGGGAGCCCAGCCCGGACCUUCCACCGGCAAACCCAGUUCCCCUGCUGCCUCCAGCCCUGGCCUCACAGGACCCCAAAGGGCCCCUCCCGUGUGGAUCAAGAGGCCAGCAUCUGAGGCUGGUCAUGUCAUCAAUCACUGCUGCAGAGACAGGAGGUGCUGACGAGGGCCAUGUGCAAAGACAGAAGAGCUGACGAGGGCCACUGGGGCCCAGCCUUCCCUUCUCAUUAGAGGCCUAAUGAGCCGCACACCUUCAGAUUCCAUUUCAGUGAAUUAUCAACACCUAAUCUGAGGGAAUAAUGGGCAAGACCACCUGCCACACAGUGAUUAGAUAAACACGCUGAGAGACAGGAUGGAAAGAACUCUGCACCAGUGCAGUCCCCAGAGCUGGGAUGGCAUCAGAAAUGAUGUAGGGGUCACUUGUGGGGAAAGACUGAUUUUAAUCAUGAGGAUCAUGUUGGGAGAGGCUCACAGUGUGCUGCAUGUGGACACCAGGAUGAAGGAGGAGGAGGAGGAGGGGCAGACCCGGGGCCCGUCUCGUGUUCACUCCUGUCAGGGGCUCCCGGGCAGCGUGUGGAUGAAGCAGGAGGAUGAAGGGCAGACCUGGGACCCGUCUCAUGUUCACUCCUGUCAGGGGCUCCUGGGCAGCGUGUGGACGCCAAGAUGGAGGAGGAGGAGGAGCAGACCCCAGGCCCCUCUCGCGUUCACUCCUGUCAGGGGCUCCCCAGCCGGAGUGGGGGCAGUGGGUGCUGGGGCUGACCGGUCAUGAAACACAGCUGUUGUCAUAAAUUAAAUCCUGUAAACUUACAAUGGAAUAAAUUAUGUGAAAACGAA